UACGUAGGGUGCGAGCGUUGUCCGGAAUUACUGGGCGUAAAGAGCUCGUAGGUGGUUUGUCGCGUUGUUCGUGAAAUCUCACGGCUUAACUGUGAGCGUGCGGGCGAUACGGGCAGACUUGAGUACUGCAGGGGAGACUGGAAUUCCUGGUGUAGCGGUGGAAUGCGCAGAUAUCAGGAGGAACACCGAUGGCGAAGGCAGGUCACUGGGCCGCAACUGACGCUGAGGAGCGAAAGCAUGGGGAGCGAACAGG
rnacentral:rRNA from 1 species